UACGGAAGGCAGCAGUGGGGAAUAUUGCACAAUGGGCGCAAGCCUGAUGCAGCCAUGCCGCGUGUAUGAAGAAGGCCUUCGGGUUGUAAAGACUUUCAGUCGUGAGGAAGGUGUUAAGGUUAAUAACCUUAGCAAUUGACGUUAGCGACAGAAGAAGCACCGGCUAACUCCGUGCCAGCAGCCGCGGUAAUACGGAGGGUGCGAGCGUUAAUCGGAAUUACUGGGCGUAAAGGGCACGCAGGCGGUUAAUUAAAGUUGGAUGUGAAAUCCCCGGGCUUAACCUGGGAAUGGCAUUCAAGACUGGUUAGCUAGAGUCUUGUAGAGGGGGUAGAAUUCCAUGUGUAGCGGUGAAAUGCGUAGAGAUGUGGAGGAAUACCGGUGGCGAAGGCGGCCCCUGGGACAAAGACUGACGCUCAUGUGCGAAAGCGUGGGGAGCAAACAGGAUUAGAUACC
rnacentral:rRNA from 1 species